rnacentral:miRNA from 1 species
UGGUGGCUUACUAUGACGUGG